rnacentral:rRNA from 1 species
GAUGAACGCUGGCGGCGUGCUUAACACAUGCAAGUCGAACGAGAAGUGAAGACGGAAACCUUCGGGCGGAAGGCUUUAUUUCGAGUGGCGGACGGGUGGGUAACGCGUGGGUAACCUGCCUCAUACAGGGGGAUAACAGUUGGAAACGACUGUUAAUACCGCAUAAGACCACAGCACCGCAUGGUGCGGGGGUAAAAACUCCGGUGGUAUGAGAUGGACCCGCGUUCGAUUAGCCAGUUGGCGGGGUAACGGCCCACCAAAGCGACGAUCGAUAGCCGAUCUGAGAGGAUGACCGGCCACAUUGGGACUGAGACACGGCCCAAACUCCUACGGGAGGCAGCAGUGGGGAAUAUUGCACAAUGGGGGAAACCCUGAUGCAGCGACGCCGCGUGAGCGAAGAAGUAUUUCGGUAUGUAAAGCUCUAUCAGCAGGGAAGAAAAUGACGGUACCUGAGUAUGAAGCCCCGGCUAACUACGUG